AUGUGCAAACACCAAAUGCUUCUAGCUCUGAUGUGCAGAAUUCAAUCCCAUCAGUGCCAAACUUUGACAACACUCCUCAAGUUGAAAGGCCUAGCAACCUCCCAACCGCAACAUUUGACACAGCUCCAAAGCUCCCUAGGGCAAACGACAUUCCGGGGCCUGUGUUUGAUGUGUCCCCCAUCUCAUUCAAAAAUGCUUCCUCUGAUGGACCUCAAGUAG
rnacentral:rRNA from 1 species